UACGGGGGGGAUAAGCGUUGUUCGGAAUUACUGGGCGUAAAGGGCUCGUAGGCGGCCAACUAAGUCAGACGUGAAAUCCCUCAGCUUAACUGGGGAACUGCGUCUGAUACUGGAUGGCUUGGAUUCGGGAGAGGAAUGCGGAAUUCCAGGUGUAGCGGUGAAAUGCGCAGAUAUCAGGAAGAACACCAAUGGCGAAAAGCAGCUCUCUGGGGACGGUACUGACGCUGAGACGCGAAAGCGUGGGGAGCGAACAGG
rnacentral:rRNA from 1 species